rnacentral:tRNA from 1 species
GCGCCCAUAGCUCAACAGGAUAGAGCAUCAGCCUUCUAAGCUGAGGGUUAGUGGUUCGAGUCCACUUGGGCGUACUA